rnacentral:lncRNA from 1 species
UGCAGUUCAGCCCUCACUGAGCACAGUUACAACAUAACUUUGCCUUAUCUGACAAGAUGAAUACAAGAAGAAACGAAAGAGGAUAUGAAGAAAAUUUUGUCCCUGGACGACACUUGAAGCUGAAUGAGUUGAGAGCGGAAGCUGAAGCUGUAGGUCUGAGUAACCAGUACCUCUUUAAGAACAACAUCCCCGAAUACCCGAGACCUGAGUUUCAUGUGACUCAUCUGAAGCAUGACACAGAGCAGCAUGGGCUACGUGGGAUCAUGGAGGACCUGGGCUUCAAGAAUCCAGGCACAGGCUCCCUGCUGUGGUGGAGUCUGGCUGUGGGGCCGGAGGAGAUCACGUCAGCAGAGAGGAGGCUCCUGGAGACCAGCUUCCCAGACCAGACUGAUGAGCAGGCCGCCAAGCAGCAGAGCUUCUUGUGGAAGUUUGCCAGCUCCCCGGCCUUCCUGGAGACGUCCAGGCUGGGCUCGUACCGCUUCACCUUCCCCCUGCAGGAGGUACUGAAGGCCUACAGCCAGCAGUUCUGCUCCGGUGGACAGCCUGUCAUGCGGGUGUUUAAGACCAUCCUGUACAAACAGGAAGUCGUGUACGUUGUGCUGGUCCACAGUCCGGACAGUGACGAGCUCUUCUCAGGGUACCCCUUGCUGACCGACGACCCCAACGCUGUCUGCUCCUACAGAGACAACUGCUUCAUCUGGAGGCCUGAGGCCACGUGUGAGACACACAGGUACCAGCUGAUCACCAGACCUGAUGAGAACCAGAUGGAGGUCUUGGAGCUGUCUGGGUAUGACACGACGUUUUAUGUCUGGGAUAAUGUUGCUGUGGCCCUGCACAUGGACAACAACCAGGUGCUGACGUUUGAUGCUGACCAACUGAGGCAGAAUCUAAAGUUCUGCAGUCCUGGUUACCCACCGAUAUCUCGUUCUAUCCGCUUUGAUAGUUUUGAGAAGGCACAGGAAGUGGUUCAAAGACUGUGGCCGGACUACGACUCCCCGCUGCAGGAGACAUCUUCACUCCAGGAGAUCUUCGGUGCCUGACUUCAGACUGGUGUUUUUUUUUUAGCUAGCUCACUAAUCUUAGCCUCUUUGCUUGUGUCGUGACCUUCCCUGGUCACCCCGGAUCGUCAGAUUCCGUCUCCUGUAUUCAGAACAUUGAGUGAAAGAAAAUACCCUGGGUUUUGUAGUUUCACCUUUAUAAAGGGAGAACACACCGUGAACACAGGCCUUUCAGUCUGCUUCACUCCCGUCCAUAAGUGUUCUGCCCCUCCCCUGGACACAGGCUUGUUUUAUUGAAAGUUGAGGUACAUUUGCAUAAUAGAUAAACAGUUCUUCAAGACCCUCGUUGGUAUUCCCAUAUUGGGACAUGUUGCCCCUUUAUCUCCACCUACUAAUUAUCAUAAUUGGUCUAACAUAUUCAUGACUAUGAAACCCUUUGUCCCUUCUAUGUUGGAUGAUUUAUCUUAGUCCAUGCCUCCUAGUGCUUCGGCCUUCACCGCAUCAAAGAGUUCCUCCCUAACUCUCUGUAAGAGUUAUAGAUGUGUUUUUCUCUAAGUGUAAGCUUAUAUAAUCAAAUACAUACGUGGUCUGUAUCAUGUCAGUGCGUAAAUAACCUUGUAUACUUCACACUUGCUAAUGCUGUACUAACAUAAAGUUUAAAUAGAUCACUGCAACACAAACCCACAGGUGCCUCUGUGUGUCUGAGUUGUGUAGCUGUUGUGAAUGCAGUGGGGGUGAGGAGGUCAGAUCAGGGUUAGAGUCCUCCUCUGUGACACACAGAGGUUUUUAAAGCUGUAAGCGCAGAGAACUGUCCACCCUGUCCCAUGACUUAGAUGAUCAUGUCAUGCUUCAUUCCCUCCACUGGUCUGUAUCCAUGCAUCAUAUUGUGCUCAUACUGUACUGGACUCUGAUUGGAUUUUAGUGACUCUUAUACUCUGUACUUAACUGUGUUUAAUGUAACCUGAUACCUCUGGC